GUGCUUUGCUCUGACAGCAUAUAUACUAAAAUUAGAACAAUACAGAGGUUAGUAUGGCCCCUGUGCAGGGAAGACACAAAUUCAUGAAGUGUUUCAGAUUUCU